rnacentral:lncRNA from 1 species
CUUCUUCAAGAGUGACAGGACAUUUGACAACUGGGGCUGUUGCAAUGGUCAUAUGAAUGAAGCAUCAGGUGCGCUGGUACCUCACACAAUAUGCAGAAGGUCUUUGUUUUUGCUGAAGUUUGCCGUUUCUCCUUGUUACUGAUGUGCAGCCUCCUUUGUGCUGACGGCCAAGAAAAUUCUGGACUGCUGCCCUGUUUGCCUCCAGAGACUGAUGCAAAGUCUUCAAAGUAAAUUCAGUGGGCCUUUUUUUUUCCCCCCAAAAUAGAGUUUACCAGAAACAAGACAUCUUCAUGCUUGUGAGGACCUUGCUGUCUACUGCAAAACUUUCAAAGACUGACAGCCUGGACUUGGCCUCUCUGAGGUUUACAAACGCACUUGAAACCACUUGAAAAAAAAAAAAAGGUUUCAGCAAGGACAACAAUGAAGUUAAGCCUCGAUUUUAUUUUAUUGUAUUUUUUUAGGUUUUCAUUUGGCAUCAAUAGAAAGUGUUUAAAAAUAUUUUUGGUUGGAUGUUCUUUGGGCAGAUCCUGAAGAGGCCUUUCUGUCAGUUCUCAGUGAAAGUAUGAUCGUGAAACAAUUUGUUUAACCCAAGUUUUCCUAAACCUAUGUGUUUUGCUGCUGUCUUGGAAAAGAGUAUCAAAUUCUGUGUGAUAGGCUUUAGUUAAAUGAAGCAUUUACAGCCUUUUCUCUUACGCGUGCUGCAAAGAAGGGUGUGUUGUUUCCUGAAGCCUGUGCACCUACAGCUCUUUUAUUUACCUAAGACCUGAUCUACCUAAUUACCGAGAUAGAAACAAACAUAACAUCCAUUCCUCUCCUCCAGACCAUUUGAAUACAUUAUCCACUUAUUUGGUAUUUGGCUCAGGUUUAAAUGAGUCAUUUAAUAACCCCGGUUCACAGCAAGUUAAGUUGCAACCAGCUGGCAGCCACAACUCACGGGGUUGUUAACCAUUCCAACCAGGAUUGGACCCCAUGCUCCACAACUUCCUGAAGGGCAUUGUGCAGCUUUGCUCCAGCUCUCAUGGCAGGAGUUUCCAGCAAAUCUGGGCCUCAGACAACAUCAUGAACAUUCUUGGAAGGCCCAUAUGCUUGCCUGUAGAUCUAUGCAUAAAUGCGUAUACAUCGGGAUCCCUGCGUGGCGCAGCGGUUUGGCGCCUGCCUUUGGCUCAGGGCACGAUCCUGGAGACCCGGAAUCGAAUCCCACGUCAGGCUCCCGGUGCAUGGAGCCUGCUUCUCCUUCUGCCUAUGUCUCUGCCUCUCUCUCUCUCUCUGUGUGACUAUCGUAAAUAA